rnacentral:rRNA from 1 species
CCUACGGGAGGCUGCAGUGAGGAAUAUUGGUCAAUGGGCGGAAGUCUGAACCAGCCAAGUAGCGUGAAGGAUGACUGCCCUAUGGGUUGUAAACUUCUUUUAUAAAGGAAUAACACGCGUCACGUGUGCCUUUUUGCAUGUACUUUAUGAAUAAGGAUCGGCUAACUCCGUGCCAGCAGCCGCGGUAAUACGGAGGAUCCGAGCGUUAUCCGGAUUUAUUGGGUUUAAAGGGAGCGUAGAUGGGGUGUUAAGUAAGUUGUGAAAGUUUGCGGCUCAACCGUAGAAUUGCAACUGAUACUGGCAGGCUUGAGUACAGUUGAGGCAGGCGGAAUUCGUGGUGUAGCGGUGAAAUGCUUAGAUAUCACGAAGAACCCCGAUUGCGAAGGCAGCUUACUAAACUGUGACUGACAUUGAUGCUCGAAAGCGUGGGUAUCAAACAGGAUUAGAUACCCUAGUAGUC